CCAUCAUCGUUUCAUCAGCACAAGGAGAAAUACAGUGCAACAUUUUGAGAGACAGGGAGAGACCAUAUUCGUUUUCACCUCAGGAAAGAUGAAACCGACCAUCAAAGUCAUGAGGAUGAGAAAUGUCAGGCUUGUUUGCCGAAAAGGUCUAUCUGAAAACGAUCACUUACAACAUCUAAUAAAGAUCUGGUGGACUCAUGCUAUGUAGAGCAAAAUAUUCCACUCUAUGAAAAACGAAUGAGCCUGAAGAUCCAAGAGAUUCACUGAACCCCAAGCAGAAGAAAUAUGAAGAUAAUUAUGCCAAGAUACAACAUAAUUAAA